AAUUUCAUGAAUCGAAAGGUGCCUAAAGGGGGAAAUCUUUUAGCAUCUUUUGACAAGCAGCUAAUUAACUAUACAAAGGAAUAAGUGAUUAUAUCUACAAACCACUUUCUUUUUAUUUGCUUUUCACAUCUUUUAUAGCAACAGGACUUGGAUACUUUGUUUUUGAAAUGGUCCAGCUAAGAAACACGCCAUCCAAAGAAAAAACUCUUCUUUAAGUGUGUCGGCAUCGAAAGUAUGGAGCGUGAGGAAAGUUGCUUUGUCCACAGUUCUAUACUUCAAAUCUGUCCAUAGUUUUGUCCACAAUAUGAUUGAAGAAUGAAUAAAAUCUCCUGCUCCAUGCUGGUUUCUUCAAGUAGGGAGAGAGAUUUUUCUAAAUCUCAAUAACAAUGAAAUGCAUAGCAGACAUUUUGACAUUAUGGGAUGAUGGGAUGAUGCUAGCAAAGUGCAUAUGUGACCAUGAGUCUAUGCAGUUGAGCAUUGUAUGGGCAUCAUCAUUCAUCAAUGUCAUUGGCAGGGGUAGAAGCAGAUAAAGAAAAGUACCCAUCAACAAUGGCAUCCAGAGAAAACAAUGAACAUUAAUGACCAAACUGCAUCAGAAAAAUCAAAUUCAUAAACCACCAAAUAGAGAAAAAAAUUACCAUGACAUUGCAACAUAAAAGGGGUACUUAGAAUAUCCCCAUGAAGAAAGCAAUUUAGAAUGGGAGGUUUGUUCUGGAAGCGUGAAGAUAACAAUUAUGCAUUCCCUAGCUUAUUGUCCUUAGGCCUAAUCUCAACACCAUGAACGACAAGGCCACCGCUUUGGAAAUUCAGCCUUUACCUCAUAACCACUCAUCCCAGUUCAUCUUUCCAUAUCUAUUGAAGAAGUCACCUAUCUCAAUUUCUAAUCCACCAUCUGCUCUCUCCUUUGGAAUUUCCAGAACAGGACAUUUCACUAUGGAUACCACUUCAAUGGCACAAAACCAAAACCUUUCAUGUCGUUCGUCGUUGUUGACGUCGACAAGGCCAGCAACUUCCUGGCUCUAGAAUAACAGAUUUUGUACAAAUUUUAAUCGACUCCAAGUGUUUAGUGAAACCUCUACAGGAUGGUUGUCAAAGCCGAAGGCGUAUCGCAGCUUGAACACAAGGUAAGCUGCAUAGUUUGUAUGUAACGACAACUUGUAGGUACUAAUCUUGCCACGGAUUUCAAGCCACCACACAUGAUUUAGCUUUGCCACCUCCUUAAACCUGUUCAUUGCGACAAACAGAACAUUCAAUAAACAAAGUGAGGAGACGAACAUAAAUUGCAACAUUUAAUAUGGGGAAAGGGGAGAACUUUUCGUGUAGAAACCUGAAUUCAGGAUGGGAAAUCCAAACCCAAUAAGCCGGUACAUCUCCCCAUGCAAUCAGUAGAUCCCUUGGAGCAAUCAUAUAGCUUAUCUUGCCACUCCUUUUGUCCAGUGAAAAACUCUAUCAUACAUAUUAACACCAAGUUUAGAUGUGCAAAUUUUGAGAACAAGAACCCCUGCCACUGCUCACAAGUUUAUAUUGCAUAAACUAAUUUUCUAGCUAAUGAAUAAAUAAAAGCUUUGCGCAUUAAAUUUCAGAUGCUGGCAAGUAUUAACUCAAAAAAUAAAACAAAUAACCGCUGCCACAAGAAUAGAAUAUGAGCAAAAUUUCAACUCUAAAUUCACUGUAGUAAAAAAUAUGUACUGUGAAAUAAAUCGCAGUUCUUGAUCUGUUCGCAGACAUAUGAUGGCUACAGUUGAAAAAUCAACUAGGAAGCCCCUUUUCCCCUUAAAAACUUUUUAUUAUAGCCAUGAAAUCAUGAACUGUUGGAUUUGCACUGGCUAGUGAAUCAUUUUGCACAACAUAUAUGUGUAUAAGUCCAUGGAAACAUAAUAAUUUUGAUAGAUUUCCUAUGAAAUGUGUUUUGUGUGCUAUUAUUUCCUUACAUUUAUGUAGGAUCUAAUUCCAACUUAUGGGACUCAUAAAAUAGCACUCGUCUGAACCUAAACUUUAGUUUAAUAGGUUCAUACAGUCAUGCAGCCAGUAAAUUUGGAGUCCAAAUGCCAGCACCUCUAACCUCUUACCUUUCCCCGGGCUAUGGCCUCUUUAUAUAAAAAAAUAGUCCUUGACUUAGAUUGAAGAUUACACGUCGCUAUGCUAUUAUAGAUUUGCAAGAAUUCAUCUUUAAAUUAGAUGAAGCACCCAACCUACAAUCAAUGGCAAUAGAUGUAGAGUUCCAAACUGAAUGCAAGGCUACAACAAACUCAAUACUUCAUUGAUGUGAGAUAGUACCAUUUAACCAACUAUGUAUUUCAAUUUAGGAAUCAUAUCCCAGAACUCUUAAAUUUCUUUAUGCAUAGAUAGAGAUGCUUAGACUUAGAAUUUUACAGCUACUUAUUCCCCCCAAAAAAUUACAGUAAAAAGGAUUUGAGCAGAACACUUUUGAUACCUUUUUGCCUUCAUCAACAAGGAUAGGAUUAUGAGAAAGAUAGAAAAACAGGUGUUUCUUGGAGGAGAAAGUGAGGGAAGAGGAGUCAGCCUGAUGAGCACAUGAUGCUGAUAAAAUGGUCUGAUAAUCAGAGGGCAGGAAACUGUCCCAGACGCUAUCAGAAGCAGCAGCUGAUCUGAAAGUUGAAGAAAGACGGGAGAAUCUGCAAACAUCAGCAGGGGUGGUGGCUGAAAGAAUUUCGGCUAUGCAUCCUUCGGGUAGUUCAUUCAAAGAAAUAGCUCCAACACCCUGCUGAUGAUUAUCAAGAUCAAUCUCUUCUCCGCUGUUCUCCUUCCUCUGCUCUUUCUUAGUGUCGUAAUUCUCCAUUUUUUCUUCUUUUGACUGCUAUACUCAGCAGUUGCCGGGUUUGUCUUAAAAAAAGUACGAGGAUGGAAAACGAAACCUUAGCAGUUAAGUUUAUGAAAAUCGCGUGACCGUCUGAAAUCCCCUUACCCACGGUGACGGAUGGUAAUUUCCAUUUUAUACAGGCCAAAAAUAGGUUAUAUCGUCCAAUAAUAUUAUUAUCAUUAUCUAUUUAUUAAUUAUUAUGUUUAAUAUUUUAUUUAAAAUCAAACGAUAACAGAAGUAUACAUUGAAUUUAAAUAUAAGACUACCAUCUAUAUGUAGACAAAUUGAAAGAGAAAUUGAAUUUGAAUAUAAGAUUGCAUGAUUUACAUGUAGAUAAAAUCAAGAAAUUAUUUUAUGAUACUUAAAAAAGAUGAUAGAUAUCCGUAGUCAAUCAUAUUUACUAUUGGAGCAGUCGACAAUUGAAUCCAUGAGGAUAUAUUAUAUACGGCUCGAACCGCAAUCAAUCUUAUUUUCCAUAGGAGCAGUUGACAAUUGAAGCCAACUUUUUUCAUUAUUUUCAUAUCCGUGAUGGUUUGAAAAGAAUGCCUAGAACAAACCACUCGGAAAAUUUUUAAUGUAUCAUGCAAAAGUUUUAACGGAUAAACUAAACUUUGCUAGCUAUUUUUACAAAAAUAAUUAAGCUGAGAAUUCUUAAUUGGCUGGUUGUAAAUAGCCCCGGGACUAUGGAACAAAGGAUUAUCCCGGACCUACACCGAGGUAUUGACGGCGAUUCUCAAAUAUCGCAGAACAGAAUGUGAUACGAUGAGAUAGAAUGCAAUAGAAACAAAGACACAGGGAACGGGUUACCUGCUCUUAACGGUCAAAGCGAACCCUUUCAUUCUAACAUUCAAAAUUUUUAAUUUGAAAUGAAUCAAAGCUCAAAAGAUGACUCAACAUGCACACAAGAUCUAACUAUAACUUACAACAAUUCCUUGGGAAGGGUAAAAAAACCUAAAGACAAAAUAAGGUCCGAGCCUAUAAAAAAAGAUAACCAAGCAAGAGGGGGGAGAAAAGGUAGAAACAGGAAAACCAGGAAUUGACUGGAAUCCACAAUACCAAAUUAGUUUCUGAAGUCAUUACCAACAAAUUCUCCUUUUGUAUCCCAAGGACGACUUUCAAAAGACUUCCCAACGAUGCUUCGCUUCUCAUUUAUAGUCCCAUCCUCGCUCCGGUACUGGGGAAAGUAAUCGAGGAAUGUUUUGCUUCCUAGCUCAUCAGUGCCACUAAAAAGGAAGUUUCUCAACAAAUCCUAAGGAUUAAACAUCAAUAGUUAGGAAAGGUACUGCAAGGCAAGUUGACAGAGAAUCAUUAAAAUUAACUGAUUCAUGAAUAUACCUUAGCAAGCUUCUCACCAAUCAACCUUUUUAGAAGUCCAUGACCAGGAUCCUGCUUUCAUAUGAACCAAAAGGUCAAGAAAAUAAACAAUAACACCUGCAAACUUUUAAGAUUAAAUGCAACCAGAAAACUCAUGCUCUGGUCUUAAUCCUUUAUCCAAUAAUAUUGAAUCAUAUGCAUCAAUAAUCAGGAAGAACUUUUUCUAUGCCACCUGUUUAUCAGGGACACAAGACUGUCCUGGGAAAUCCAUGAAAAGUUAAGCCUUAAACUUGGUCUGAUGCAAGUAAUGAAUACAUGCAGAUGUCCAAAGUAUGAUAUUUGUAGGGAUCAAUUCCAAGCCCAUUUUUAGGGGUGUAAACAAAACAUGAACGAAUAUUGCUAUGUUUUUAAUCUAUUCCUUUAAUUAAUGAACCCCCAAAAUAUUGUUCAUGAUUGUUUGCUAAGUGUAAUAAACAAACAGAAAUCAAGUCUGUCCACAAACUGUUCGUCAAACACUAUUUGUUUACACCCAGGGUAUAAACAAAAUGAACAUGAAUGUAUGUUCAUGAUCUAUUCGUUUAAUUAACUUAAAUGUUAUUUGUGAUUAUUUGUUAAGCUUAAUAAAUGAAAAAACUUAGCCUUUUCAUGAACUUUUCAUCGAUCGUUCUAUUCGCUUACAGCCCCACCCAUUUUGGACUUUACACAUACACCCAAUUCAACUGUACCCAUAGGCUAAGUUUCAUUCUACUCUGAAAUUGGAAUAAAUAGAGUGAAAAGCCCUACGAUUUGAACAUAAGAUUGUUUAGUCAAACAACCUUUGGUACCACGCUAGAGAAAAGAGUAUUGCAAAAGCUUUAGUUGAUUAACAAUGAGUCAAUGACAUAUUUCCAUCCUCAAUAUGGAUAUGACAGAGAGAAGAUCCAAAAAGUUAAAUUUUGACUUUUUUAUAAUUUAAAAAGUCGGAAAUAUCUGCAAUUAAAACCAAUGGUGCUGAGUUGACUAAAGAAGCAAGAGUGGCAAGCAUUUUAGUUAUGUAUUUAUAUAUUAUCUUGGAAUGACAAACAAGGAUAGGUAGAUAGUUUUAUCCGCUCUCUCCCUAUUCAAAGGCCUAAAAAAUCCAAUUGCAAAGAUAAUAUUUUAUCUUAGUUCAUGUAUAUUUUCUAUUUUUUGCAACGAAAAAUCAACUCCAAAGGCCCUACCUGAAGUUAACAGACAUGAUAGGCUCAUAAAAACAAGAAAGACUGUAGGAGAAAGGGAAAACAUGGAAUAAUCACCUUUUCUGCUCUCCAUGUUAGGUAUCUAUGCUGUGCUUCAAGAUUGCACACAAUUUGAGAUGGAUCAGUAUCCUCCACCGCUUGCUCCAUUAGCUCUAUCCAUACCUAAUAGAGCAUCAGGAAGUACGAAAAAUAAGACAGUUUCCAAGAGACAAGAUAUGAAUAAUGCUAAUCAUUGUUCCUAAUUUAUGUAAUCAGGCAAUGACCACAUGUUUCAGAAGAAUACAUCUACCUUGUAGUAUUCCACAAAUGCAGAAUAUAGAAUUUCAUGUUUAGAUUUGCUUGAAGUAAACUUUGUCCAUAUCACCAUCGGUGAGAAAAACUUUAUAGAUUCACUUGUAAGCUUUCCUCCCCAAGGUAAAAGCUGCAUGAAAUCCGUGUUCAGUCACCAUGGCAUAAAUUUUAGAGACGAUAAACUGAUAUAAACAAUUAUCUAUAUCGGGGUUUACCAUAAUGUGCCAGUUCCAAUCAUCUCAUUUACCUCAGUAUACUUGAGACCUAGAGGAACUAAGCUGUCAUAAUACUUUUCCUUGUAGUCUCUUCGACUAGUGACAUCAUGCAAAGGAUUUAGGUCCCUAUAAUGAUUAAUCAAGGGUAAGUUCCAAAAUCGAGAGUGCUCAUUACAAUCCCAGAAAGAAAAUUUCUUUAGGCCUUCAUGAAUUAUUUGUCAAACAUUUGAUGUAAGCCAAUGAACAGAAUUGUUGGAUGCACAAACUUAGGAUAGAGUCUGGGAAAUAUAAAUAAUACAUAUACACAAACAAACAGUAAAAGCUACACAUAGGCUCCGUUUGUUUCACGGAAAAUGAUUUUCGGAAAAUGAUUUUCGCAUUUUCAGUUGUUUGUUUGGCAAAAACUGGUUGGUCAAUGGAAAAUAACUUACUAGUCAAUGGAAAAUGAGGUUAUUUUUCUAAAAAUUAUCUUACGGAUUUGAAAAGGGGAAGACAUUUUCCGGAAAAGAGCUAUCUAUGAGUAUAACUAUUUAUUAAUAUUUUUUAGCAUAAUUUUAUUUAUAAAUAAUAUUAUAUUAAUAAAUAAAUAAUAUUAUAUUAAUAAAUAAUAUUAAAUUACAGUAUAUUAAUAAAUAAUAUUAUAUGAAUAAACAAUAUACUAUUAAUAUAAUAUACAAAUAAAAAUAUUAAUAAAUAAUAUACUAUUAAUAUAAUAUAUUAAUAAAUAAUAUUAUAAUUUAUUAAUAAAUAAUAUAAAGAAUAACAAAUAGUUUUAUUUUAAGUAUUUUUAUAUUAAUAUAAUAUUUUAAUAUUAAAUAUUAUUAUUAAAAUCUAAUUAUUUUUUAAUAUUAAUAAUUUUAAUAAUAAAUAAUUUCAAUAUAUUUUAAUAAUAAAUAAUUUUAAUAUUUUAAUAGUUAUAUUAAUAUUAUUUGAAAAAAAAAAACAGAUUUUCCUGAAACCAACUAAACAACAGAAAAUAUUUUUCAUUAACUCAUCCAAACAACAGAAAUUCUCUUUCAAUUCAAAAAAUAUAAAUAUUUUCCAAAAAUCAUUUUCCUAAAGUCAUUUUCUAUAAAACAAACAGAACUUUAGUGGGCAAUAUAAAUGUCAUAUCAUAAAGGUGUUGAUCUAGCUCUUUCUCUCACCCUCCCUUUCUCUCUCCUUUCAAAUAGGAGGCAGAUGCCUACUAAAAGUAUAAGAAACACCAAACAAGUAAUUAAAGGCAGACAUAUACGCUUGGUGGUUUCAGUUGCGAUUGCAACAUCUUGCAAUGCGUAUAAAAUGUUUCUACUUGCACUCUUUGAUGCGCCAUAUGUAUCAUUAGAAUGUUUAGUGAUGAGAAGAACCUGCUGACCAAGAACAAGUACAGAAAUGGAAGCCAAAACCAGAUUUUUUUAAUCUACCAUGGGCAACAAAACCAAAAAAAAAAAAAAACUCAUUACACUAUGCUAGGAUGGCUAUAUCUGCUAUAAAAGAAUUACCUGAGUACAGAGCACUUAAAGAAAAGUAGUCUCCCCUAUCAUGUUCCACAAAUAACGAAAGAAAAUAACAAAACUUACAACACAACUAUGUUUGUAUUAGCAGCCGUGAAGAAGUUGCCACAGAAUAUGGGUAGAUCAAAUUCUGGUUUUGGAAAGGCAGCAAAAUCUAAUACCUACCAAGAGAAAGACGGAAAGGAGUUCGUAUUAGGAAAAGCAUAAACCACGUUAUAUACCAAAAUAAUCUAAAAAAAAACAUGGGUUUUACUAAUGAAAUAAUCAAUAGAACUAACUACCUAGGUCAAAACAAAAGAUCUCAACAGCCAAGACAUAGAGAGAGCAUUUCUUUUUUUAAACCCAGCAUCAACUUGUUCUACAACAUGUUUCUUAUUCUUCCUUUCCACACAGGACCUCAAACAGUUUUUGGGACAAAUUUAAUAAACUAAAAUGGUGUCUGAAGUAAUUUACUGCAUUAUGCCUUCAGAGUUUAAAUCUUUCUUUUAAUUGCUCUUUGUUAAAAAAUGAACUGUUACAUUUCUAAAGACUCCACACAUUAAGAAUGCAAUAAAAUACAGCACAGCAAGAUUAAGUCAUUUAGAAAACUAAAGAAUAAGGCUUUUAUCAAGACUCAAGAGAAUAAGAUGCAUUAGACUAGAGCCAAAUCACUGCUUGUCUUCUUCUAAUGAACUAUAUGAAGAAACUUAACUACAAUUAUCAUGAGAAAAAUGUCAAGAAUAAAUCUAAGAAAGUACAUAUAAUAAUAAGUUGUAACAAGUACAAAUAGUUAAGAAGAAAAACUAUUAAGUUUGUAUGUCAAGUUAUAAAACCCAUGACUAGCAUAAUUAUUUUUGCUGAUUUAACAACUCAAAACAUUAAGGUAACAAAUUAGAAGAUAAUACCUGCAUAGCUUCACCCUCAAUGCUCAUACUUCGAAGUAGUCUGAUUCUAGAAGUGUCAAAUGAUAGCAUUUCAAGUCUCGUUUUUCCAUCCAAUGCAAUCAUAGAACUAUAUCUUUCCUAAAAGUGAAAUUAAAGCAGCAAAAUCAACAUUAAGUCAUGAAUUCAUAUCACACUGCAAAUUUUUAUAUAUUGGUAUGUCAAUGGUUGUGAUGUUCAUCACAAUAUUAACCAAAACAACAAAAACAAUAAUGGUAGUGGCAGCAAGAAAUGUUGGAUUAGCCCAAAAUCCUUCUGUGUCUGGUUUGGCACCGACUCCUAAAAAUCCUUUGUUACCCAUGAGAAACCCCAAAAAGUUGAACUUGGCAAGCUCAAUUGCGGGAUUUUGGGCUAAUCCAAUGAUUACUGUCAACAACUGCACCAUGCUUCAAUAGAAAGGCCCUAAAGAAGUGUGCCCUUCAUGUGUUCCUCAUAAACAGAUAACGCACUCAUUUUCAUCAAUAAAGAGGCAUGGUAGAUUGCUACAGUCUUGAUGCUCUUGAUGAGAUGCUUUUGGAUCCUAAAAUAUUUCUGCUAUUUUUCUUUUCAAGCAAAAUGAACUCAAAUACUGAAUAGAAAAAACCCAAAGCACAUUCCUAAAGACAUUAUCUUGGUCCAAUUUUUAGGACAAUAAAUGGCCAGUCUAAACUACAAUAACCAAGACAACAUUUUUUCCCCAUGGAUAAGCAAAAGAUCAAUCCUUUAUAUGAAUGAAUUAAGAGUACUAAUAAUUUGUGAAGAUAUUGCAAAAAUUAUGCUCCAUUUCAGUCUAGCUCAUCAUGUUCCAUAAUUAACUAUCAAAUAGACACAAAAAGUGUUCUUUAAAUUUUUAUAGUGAAAUUGACUUCAACAUGGAAACUAGAUAAAAGCAACACAAGGAUUCAUCCACAUGGUAUCAGUAAUUCUUAUCUACAAAUCUCAGAGAUUUAAACAAAAAGCUCAAGACUGAAAUGGCAAAGAACCAGGACACAGGAGAAAAAUAUAUAUUAAAAACAAUAGUAAACCCAAGAAAAAUCAAAUCAGAAUAACCAAAAAGAACCCAUAAAUUCUCAUUAAAAAGUUCAACAUAAAAAAAAAAAAAAAGAAAAAGAGACCCUGUUACCUGGAGGGGAGAGGGAAGCAAAAGGGUAUGGCGUUUGGUUUCAUUGAGAGCAAAGUGAAUGAAGUUUUGGUAAGAGAUUGCAGAGACUUGAAGCAAGCAAUGCCCUGUCUUCUUCUUCCUCCAGUGAGAGUUGCAAUUAUAGUUAAUGGUCAUUAAUGGAGGAGGAGGCUUUAACAUUAAGCUUAAGCUUAAUAACGAUGAAGAAGAACAACACUCCAUUUCUUUUGAGACUGAAGAUUUAUUCAAGUGAAACUGCAAACUCCAAUAUUGUGAAUUGAAUUCAUGAUUUUUUAUGUUAGUUUCUGAAACCGUGGGUGUGUUUUUCCUUUUGAGUAGUGGACGAUUUUUUAUCGGUUUCAACUGGAACUAGAAUGAGGUUCUUUGUUCUUUGUGUUUCAGCCACGUGGGCAGAAACCUGAUAGUAAGAAAACCCAUCAUCUCAGCACGUGAAGGUGGCCCUCCACAUUAACUCAGUUACUUUAUACAAUACAAGCCCAAUGGAUAAUAUGUCGAUUCUGGUCCAUUAAGCUUUUUAUGUUGGUUAUAUAUUAGUUUGUGGCACACAGCCAAGUAAUAAUAAAGAUAAAUGUUAAAAUAGGAAAAAAAUAUAAUUAUUAGAAAAAGUAAAAUAGAUAAAAAAAAGAAGAAUGUAAUUUAUGUUUUGUAAUAGAAAAAAAAGUACGAAUAUCAAUAGAUAAAAUAUGAAAUGGAUAAAGCAUUUAUCAUCCUAAUCAUUUAUUUUUAUAUUAUAUUUAUUCUUAUAUUUAUAUCCGAUGGAUAUUUCAAAUUCAUUUUCAUUUUAAUUUCAAUGAAAAUAUAAUUGAGUGUGUAUUUAUAACUUUUUUAAUUAAAAAACAAUUUUUUUUAGCUUUUCUUAUUUGUAUUUGCAUAGUUAUGUAACUUUUAGAAAUAUAUAUUUUAAAUAGAAAUAUAUUAGAUCUAAUUAUUCUAAAUAAAAUUUUAUAUUGUUAAAUAAAAUUUAUUUAUUAAAUAUACAAAAUAUAUAAAAGGUACAAUUACGGGUUUAGAGCGAGUGUUAUGUUGCUCAUUCUUGUACUUAAUAAAAAUUUUAUAACUAUUCACAUCUCUGUUCUCAUCUCUAAAAUUUAAUAUUUAUCUCCAUCUUCAUUCAAAUAGAAAAUUAAUUUUUUUAUAAGUUAUGGAUAUAAAUAUAAAUAUGAGUAUAGGUAAAAUUAACAUCCCAAGAGUGAACAAAAAUACAAGUCUAAAAAGAGGUGAAUUUAAAUAUAAUUUAAAAAAAGUGAAAAAUUAAACUAUUUCUAUUAAUUUUAUAUUUUAUUUUACUUAUUUUUGUUUUAUGAAUUCUUGGUUGAUUUCGCUUCACAUUAUAUUAAUUUAGUCAUAGGGUUUACAAUUAAUAUAAAUUUUAAUAGGCUAAAUGUUUAAUUUAUCGAUAUUUAAAAGGGUUUUAUAACGAUUAAGGGCACAUUGUCUUCGAAAUCGUUACAAAUUGAAACGUUUUUAUGAGAUUAAACAAGUGUAGUAUUCAAGCUAUUAAAUAGCAUGAAAUAAUAUAUAACUAAUUGACAUGCCAUUGGCGAAGAUGACAUAACAUAAUAUUUUAGUCACGACAUUGAUUAAGAUGACAUAACAUUUUUCAAUGAAUAAGGUGACAUGGAUUUUUUUUGGUGUUUCUAACUGCCUUUUUUUUAUUUUUCUUUUAAAAUUAAAAUAAAAAAGAUUAAUGUCAUGAAUGAUUAUUUAAUUAUAGUUAAACGUUCAAUAUAAUAUUUAAAUUUUAAAAAUUUUAAUAUGAUAAAUAUAUUAUGAUUAUAUUAAUUUAUAUGAUAUUCAUCAUUAGUAUGAUUAGUUUUAAAUAAUAAUAAAGAGCAAACAAAUAAUUUUUAAAAUAUCAUAUUAAUUAAUAUGUUUAUAAUUUAAAUAUUAUAUUAAAAUAUUUUUGAAUAUAAAUAUUAUAUUAAAUAUUGUAUUAUAAUUUAAGUGUUAGACAUUAACCAAAAAUAAAACUUAUGGUCGCUUGAUAUGAUGGUUAUGGAUCCAAGCUUUUCCUUUUUUUUUUUGUUUUGGUCGAUAAAAGGAUAAACUAAUCAUUAAAAUAAGGUAUGGUACAAAAUAGUUAGCGCAAAGUCAACCAUCAUUCACGACUGUAAAAAGUUGGGAGGAUCAAAAUGCAUUACAAAAUACGGAUUGCUCGCAUCAGCAUUAGAGCUAGUGUUACAAAAGCCCCUUUUGUUAGGGUCAUAGCCACCACUUUUCCUUGCUAGGGCAUCAGCACAUUGAUUGGCUUCAUGGAAGAUAUACGAAAUCUUUUUCUGUUGCAACUGAUUCAACAUAAUCCUACAAUCAUGAAUGAGAGGUUCAAGCACAAGGUUACUAGAAUGAGUGCAUGGAGCAGUAAUGAGGCUAAUAACUGCAAUAGCAUCGAGCUAAAUUUCUAGCUAGGCAUUCACUUCGCUUGGUGAUGGCAAGAGUCGGACCAUCUCUAGGUGCCCAGAGCUCAGCUUUCACACUAGUAGCUUUUCCAAUGAAUCUGUGGAAGCUAGCUACCCAGUUGCCCAUGUGAUCUCUGAUAAUGGCUCCUGCACCAACCCGGCUUGGGUUACCAAUGGCUGAGCCAUUAGUGUUAAGUUUAUACCAGCCAAUAUUAGGGGCACUCCACCUGACUGGAAUGAAAGAGGGGGAGAGAACAGUGGGUUGGUGAUCAAAGAUGGCGUAAAACUCUGCGGCUUUACUCAAGGCUCGUUGAAUAAUGGAUAAGCUUAGGUUAAUGUCCCUGAAUACAGCGGCAUUCCUUGCUAACCAAAUUUCCUAGAGGAGGUGAAUGAAAAUAAGUUUCCAUGGGAUGCUAGAUCCAUGAUAAGACAGUUUAGAACUCAUCUGGAGUUCGAGCCAAAUAGUGAAAGGGACUUCAGAAGUGAUCAGGAGGGGGGUAGGGAUCUAUAGAUACUGCCAUAUGGGUUAAAUAUCCGGGCAAAACCUGAGGAUAUAGUCCAGGCUCUCUUCUUCGACCUAGCAAAAAGGGCAGGAGUCCUCCAAGGUGAAUCCAUAUCGAGCAAGAAACGUCUUAGUAGGCAGAAUUUGGUGCAUACAUUCCCAGAGAAAAAAGCUAAGUUUCGGGGAGAUGUUAUGUUUCCAAACCCAGCUAAAGUCUUGGUUGAUGCUCAGAAAUGAUAAACCUCGGGCAAGAUAGUAGGCGAAAGAGGUAGUGAAGAGGCCAUUCCUUGUGUGAUUCCAGUAGAUNNNNNNNNNNNNNNNNNNNNNNNNNNNNNNNNNNNNNNNNNNNNNNNNNNNNNNNNNNNNNNNNNNNNNNNNNNNNNNNNNNNNNNNNNNNNNNNNNNNNNNNNNNNNNNNNNNNNNNNNNNNNNNNNNNNNNNNNNNNNNNNNNNNNNNNNNNNNNNNNNNNNNNNNNNNNNNNNNNNNNNNNNNNNNNNNNNNNNNNNNNNNNNNNNNNNNNNNNNNNNNNNNNNNNNNNNNNNNNNNNNNNNNNNNNNNNNNNNNNNNNNNNNNNNNNNNNNNNNNNNNNNNNNNNNNNNNNNNNNNNNNNNNNNNNNNNNNNNNNNNNNNNNNNNNNNNNNNNNNNNNNNNNNNNNNNNNNNNNNNNNNNNNNNNNNNNNNNNNNNNNNNNNNNNNNNNNNNNNNNNNNNNNNNNNNNNNNNNNNNNNNNNNNNNNNNNNNNNNNNNNNNNNNNNNNNNNNNNNNNNNNNNNNNNNNNNNNNNNNNNNNNNNNNNNNNNNNNNNNNNNNNNNNNNNNNNNNNNNNNNNNNNNNNNNNNNNNNNNNNNNNNNNNNNNNNNNNNNNNNNNNNNNNNNNNNNNNNNNNNNNNNNNNNNNNNNNNNNNNNNNNNNNNNNNNNNNNNNNNNNNNNNNNNNNNNNNNNNNNNNNNNNNNNNNNNNNNNNNNNNNNNNNNNNNNNNNNNNNNNNNNNNNNNNNNNNNNNNNNNNNNNNNNNNNNNNNNNNNNNNNNNNNNNNNNNNNNNNNNNNNNNNNNNNNNNNNNNNNNNNNNNNNNNNNNNNNNNNNNNNNNNNNNNNNNNNNNNNNNNNNNNNNNNNNNNNNNNNNNNNNNNNNNNNNNNNNNNNNNNNNNNNNNNNNNNNNNNNNNNNNNNNNNNNNNNNNNNNNNNNNNNNNNNNNNNNNNNNNNNNNNNNNNNNNNNNNNNNNNNNNNNNNNNNNNNNNNNNNNNNNNNNNNNNNNNNNNNNNNNNNNNNNNNNNNNNNNNNNNNNNNNNNNNNNNNNNNNNNNNAGAAUUUCGACGAAAAUUUUUAGAAUUCGAUGAGAUUUAAUCGGAGUUCUUCAUCAGUUUAGAGAGAAAUGAGAGAAAAAGAAGGAAAGAGAGAGAGAGGGGAGGAGAGGUUUGCUGAAAAACAGAGGAAUUAACUUUUUAUACCCAGUGAAAACGACGUCGUUUUGACGUUACUGUGCCCAGAGGAUCCGCACGUUUUGAAAUCGGGUGACCCGACCAGAGGGCAACCUACUUUUCACCCGCGUUCAACUUGGGUGCGAGCCGUUUCUGAAGCCGAGCCGAGCCGUGUCUCCAAGCCGUUUUUUCUUCCUCAAGCCGAGCCAAGUCGCCAAGCCGAGUCGUUCCCAGGUUUUUUUUUUAUUAUUAUUAUUUAUUUAUUUAUUUAUUAUUAUUUAUUUAUUUAUUAUUAUUAUUAUUCUUAGAUUAGAAUUGUUUAAUACAUUUUAUUUUAUUUUUCUUUAUUUUUAUUUUAUUUUCUUUAAAUAAAAUUAAAAAAAAAUAUUUUUUAAGGAAAAGUUGAAAGUAUCAAUUUUCUUUAAAGAUAAGCUUUCUAAAAAAUAUUUUUGAGAAAAAAUUGAAAGUAUCAAUUUUUCUUCAAAAUAAGCUUUCUAAAAAUAUAUUUUUGAGUAAAAGUUAAAAGUACUAAUUUUUCUCAAAAUUAAAGUUUUUAAAAAAUAUUUUGGGAAAAAGUUGAAAGUAUCAAUUUUCCCUAUACAAAAGCAAUCAUUUUUUUCUUUUUAUUUUCUUGAAUUUUUUUUAAUGUUAAAUAAUCCGACGAUGGAGCCUCUGCAAGUGAAACAGUAGUUUUCUUGUAUACUCUUGAGGUGAAAAAUUUUUUUCAAUUUUUUGCUAAAAGUAUUAAAGUCAAUUGAGAAUAAUUUCCAAUGAUUAAUUACUUGGUAAAUUUUUAAGGUUUAUUGGAUAACACAAAAUUAAGCUGGUACCAUCUUUUGAUGGGCAUUGUGACGGUGCUAUAACUUUCCUCACACGUAACCGAACUCUCAAACCCUGUUCUGGUUAGUAAACCUGAACAUAUUCUUUUAGGGACCCUUAAACUUAGGUGUUCCUUGAAAGGGACAGAUUUCUUAAGUGGCUAAUCGCACCUAGAUAAGAAAAGAUUGGUGGCGACUCCUUCAAGUCAAUGUCUAGCGAUAGAUCUUCGGAUCAAGACAUUAUGACAACUUGGCAACUCCACUGAGGAUCUCUGAGAGUUAGGCCAGCAAAUAAAUUUGUGUUAUCCAAAAGCCUAAUAAAAUUGAACCUUUUUGUAUAUAUAUGUUAUUAUUCAUUCAUGUUUAUUUACUUUAUUAAUUAUGUCAUUCAUAUGCAAAUACAUAACAUGAGCUCUAUACCUGAGCUCCGUCCCUCUAUGAGGGAGUAAAGUACCUAUUGCUUUUGUGAGGUUUAAUGCCUCCGCAGUGGCUAGUGAAAUACUCUCACUCAAAUUGAACAUUUUUUGCUUGUAGCUUAUAAUAGGUGAAGAUUAGGGUGCCUUACUAGUCUGUGAUGGUAAUGAUGUAAGGAGCAAUUUGAGAACCCUUAGACUUUAGCCUUGAACUACAUAUAAGUGAACCUUAGAAGUGUCUAACCUUAAGAUAGAGUCAUUUUUACCCAAUAAUAGAUAUACCCUGAAACUAGGACACAAAAAGGGUAUUUAUCUAAUCAUUUUGAUUAUCUGACUUUGUGCAUAAUUUUCAUUAUCAUAUGUAACAUUAUACAUCGGUAUCACUUUUAGUUCAUCUGUAAAACUAAUUAUGUUAUUUGUCUGAUUUUGUGUAUCUGUAUUAUUUUUAUGAUCAUGUUUUAACAUUAUCAUUUACAUCCAUUUCAUAUUAGAUUUCAUCCAUGAAAAUGUACAUUUCAUUCAUGCAUCAACGUAUCAUACAUAAAGCAUAGCAUAGCAUUUUUAAUCAUAAUUAUGGUGCUAAAGAUUCAAGGAUAGCUCCAUCUAGCGAGAACCCUCCCUAUCCAUCGAUACAACACAAGAGCCAAAACCAGACAAAUGGAGUAAAAAAAUUCUCACAGAUUUGAGAAGCUAGAAAAAGCACAGGAAAAAAAUGAAAAUAAGUUGAGCAAGAUUCUAGAUGCUCUCAAUAAGCUGAAUAAAGAAAAAAGAGUUGAAGAAAAUACAAGCUAACAAGUUCUCCCAUUACGAGAAAUGACUGACCUUUUGUAUCCUUCAAGUUUUGGUCCACCUCAAGUCCAGUCUACACAAAAAGUUCCACCACAACACUUCACAUAUCCUACAUAUCCUGGAAUGCCAUUAGCCUCUAAUCCAAAGUAUUACCAUAGCUAUGUGAAUCCUAUCUUUACUGAAAACCUAGUUAAACCAAUUUAAAUCCCUGAUCUGGAUGAACUGAAAGGAAAAGACAAAGAAAAGAUAAAAGUGAAAACUCAGAAAACUCUAAAAUUAGUAUGCUAAAAACAAAGGCUACGGGCUAUGGAAGGAAUUGGUUUUUAUGGUUCAAUUGAUGUUGCUGGGCUUUGCUUAGUCUCUGAUGUGAUCAUUCCUCCUAAGUUUAAAGUAUCAGAAUUUAAAAAAUAUGAUGGCACAAAGUACCCAAAAACUCAUAUUACCAUGUAUUAUCGAAAGAUGACAGCCCAUGCUCAUGACGAAAAGCUACUAAUAUAUUUUUUUCAAGACAGUCUUACUGGUUCUGCUAUUAGGUGGUGUAUCCAGUACAGAACUCGCAUCCGUUCCUGGAGUGACAUGGCCAAUGAUUUUAUCAGUCAAUAUCGACAUAUCAUAGAUUUGGCCCCUGAUCGUUUGUCUUUACAAAAUUUGAAAAAAAAAAAGGCCAAUGAGACUUUUAAAGAGUAUGCCCAGAGGUGGAAGGAUAUUACUUCUCAAGUACAGCCUCUUCUGACUGAAAAAAAAAAUUACAGUACUAUUUGUCAGCAUUUUGAAAUCUCUCUAUUAUGAAAAAAUGAUAGGGAAUACAACAAAAAAUUUCGUCGACAUGGUGAUCUUUAGAGAAAUUAUUGAAAGUGCCAUAAAAAAUGGUAAGUUGAAAUGAGGAGAAACCAAGAAGGCAUCAGAAAAGAAAAAAACCGAAGCUCAAGCUGUGAGCUUUGAUAGAUAAUAAUUCAGGAGUUAUCAACCCUAUCCACCUCAAGGUUACUCUUCAUACUAUCCUAUUGUGAAUAAUGCUUUGUCCUAUCCAUACUAGCUAGCCCUACAACCAUCUUAUUUGUCCACAUAUCGAUCAAUUUUUAGCCCUCAAGAUCUUACAUAUAACCUUAACAUUCAAACUCCUAUAAGAGCCCAAAUUCGCCCUACUAACCCAGCAAGUGGUUCACAAGAGCAACGGAUUACUUGAAAAAAAAUUGUAUUUGAUCCAAUCCCUAUGACUUAUACGGAGCUAUAUCAAAAAUUCUAUAAUAGCCACUUGAUUUCCCCCAACUGUGUGGAGCUGCUCAAGCCAUCCUAUCCUAAAUGGUAUGAUCCUAUAGCCCAUUGCGACUACCACUAUGGAAUUGCUGGCCAUUCUACUGAAAAUUACACUACUUUAAAACAUAAGGUGCAAUGGUUAAUCAAUGAUGGAAUGAUAAGUUUUGAUCAAUGAAGAGCAACAACACCUAAUCAUAAUGCUCUGAGUGAAAAUCAAGAACACAUUGGUUAUAAAGGGUCCGGAGAGUCACAAUGAAUUGAGGAGCAAGAUAUCAAUAAAGAUUCUUCACUUGAUCGCAUAGGGGGACAAUUUUGGAGAAUGAAGAUAAAGCUGAUUGAAAGUUUCUUGUCAUUUUAAGAUUUUUUUUAGAGUAAUGUUAGGUUUCUUUUAGGCAAUAGGAUUUCAUUUGUUAUCAUUUCAAUAAAAGAUAAUUUAAUGUAUUUCAUUACAUUUUCUCCUUCAUUCAACUAUUGUUCCAUGCUUUGUCACCUUUUAUAACUUUUGUUCCCAUUCUUGAAUUUCGAACAAUGAAUGUUUAGACAAUGGCAGCAAUAAUUUUGAAAUUUAAUUUUGAGAACUUAUUCACAUUGAUUUGAGGAGACUAUUUGAGUAAAAGAAGCCAACUACUAGCGGAUGUGAAAUUAAUAUGUCUUAAAGAUGUGCAGUUUUUUAUACAAAUUUAUGAGCUUAUUUUUGCUUAAUAGAUGAUGUUCAAGGAAAGCAUUCACAUUUGAGAUGAAAAAUAAUCAUUUUUCUUUUAUCAUUUGAAAAACCAUUCAUUGCUACCCCUUUGAGCCUGCUAUGAUUUUUUAAAAAAAAAAACCCCGACCAAGGAUCACCCUCCACACUGAAAGAUAAUUUUUGAGAAAGAAAAUAGCCUAAAGGUCAAAAAGGUCUUAAAAAAAACAAAAAAAAAUGUCACAAAUGAUUUGGGGUAAAGAAAUGAAAAUCUCUUUAUGAAGAAUGAGAUAGAAAAAGGGAAAUGUAGUGAAAUGAUAUAGAGUGGGGUAAAAUGCUAAGCUGUAUCAAGUGAUGAUCCUUUGGUUUUGAACCCUUUAAAUAUAUAUAUUGAGCCUAUUUUAUCCAUUUCUUUCAUUACCUCAUACCAUGGCCCACAUUACAACCUUGAAUAGUCCAUUUGGAUCAAGUGUGAAUGCUCGAAUUGAAUAAUCGUAUGUUGGGCAAAUGUGUGCUCAUGAUGAAAUCAUGUUAUUACCCUAAAGAUUAAUGUCAACAAUGGAUGAAAGAUGAGAGAAAAAAAAGAAAAAAAAUGGUGAAAGGUGAAAAAAAAAUAAAAAAAUAAAUAAAAAAAAAUGAAAAGAGGAAAAAUGAAGACUCAAAUUAAAAAUCCGAAAGGGUAAUUUGGGUAGACCAAAUCUUUGAGCUGAAAGUUACAUGAACAGUUCAAAUAUAUAAAAGAUCAAGGCAUCUAAAGAUCCUCCAAAGUUGGGAUAAAGUUUGAUGAACUCAAAAUGAUUUUGACAAUCAAUGGAAUGAGUUUUUGAAAAAAAAAUUUGAAUUAAUAUUUAAAAUUGUCUGAAUAUUCAUUUGUCCCAAUGACAUUCAACCAACUCGUCUCUUUUCCCAUUUGCUUUUGCACUAAGACUCACUUCUCAUUGUUGCUUUUCUUUCAAUGCAUUAUCUGCUCUUUUGUUCUCACAUCCCUAAAAUGAAUCGAGAAAAUGUUUGUUUGCAUUGUGUUUGUCAAGAAUUGAAAUGAUAAUGAAUGAAUGAAUGAAUAUGGGUUUAAAGGAGUCUUGCAUUUUUUUGGAAAGAAAUCUAAGAUGAUAAAGAAAAAUGAAGAGAUUGUAGAAACCUGAAAAAGAUGAUUUAAGAUAACACGUGGUGUGAUCAAAUGAUGAAAAUGGUGAUGGGUUGGUCAACAAAUGAAUAGAGUGCAAAAACUUGAAUAAGUGCUAUGACUAAGUGACGAAUACAAAGAUGAAUUGGUCGACAUGACUUGCGAGUUAUGAUUAAAUGAUGAAAAUAAUCAGUAGACAAAGUUUGAUUUGGAAUGGUUAGGGUUAAGAAACCUAUGAGUGUAACCUAGUGACUGACAAUGAAAUUGUUCGAAAUGGUUAAUGCUGAAAUACCUAUGAGUAAUGACCCAGUGAUGGUGGAUGAAACUUGUUCUAAAAUUUGUUAGUGAUGAAAAGUCCAUUAAUGGUGGUCAAGUGAUGAUCGAUUAAUGAAACUUGUUUCAAACUAUUAAGAAACUGAACAAGGAAUAAAUGUAAAAUGAUAGAGUUUUAAGAGCCAUAUUACCACAAUUAUUUAGGAUUUCAUGACAUUAUUGACAUCCACAUUACAUGUAUCAUAUUGGCAUCGUUUCUUAAAUAGUACAUGCACAUAAUUUGAUGAAUUAAACUUUGUUUGGAGAUUCAUGGCACUAUGAGAAUCUAGGUUGUUGCAUUUACAUCAUUAAGAAGGUAUUUACAUCUUUGGUCAUGAUAUUCAUUCAUGCAAAUUUUUGAGUCAUUUGAAAAACAAAUUGUGAAUAUUUUGAUGAGAAUUUUUGAGAACUCAAAUAAGAAUCUUUGAGUUUCAAAAUGAGAAUCUUUGAGGAGUGAAACCCUAAAGUUCAUCGAAUGUGAAUCUUCGAACAAAUGAAAAGUUUUAAACUUUUGGAUGUGAAUCUCCAAAAUACAAAGCUUCAACUUUUUGGAUAUGAAUUUCUAAUGUUUUAAACAAGAACCUUUGAACUUAGAUGUGAAACUCUAAGCUUUAUUGCAUGUGAGCCUUUGAACUCAAAUGAGAAGCUUUGAACUUUUGGAUGUGAAUCUCCAAAAUUCAAAUGAAAAGCUUUAGAUUUUUUUAUAUGAAUUUCAAAUUUGCCAAAAAAGAACCCUUGAAAAGCCUUGAACUUUUGGAUGUGAAUCUUCAAAAUUCAAAUAAGGAUAUUUAAAUAUUGGAUGUGAGUUUUGCAAGUUGUAAAUGCAAAUCUCGAGAUAUUACAAAUUUGAAUGAAACUGAAAUUUUGAGAAUCAAAUUUCAGUAAAUUCUUAUGAAGUUGAAAGAUUCUUGCAAAAUUAAACCUCUGAAUGUUGAACUCAAAUUGUGAAUCCUUGAGUUCCUAUUACAAAAUUCCUUCAGUCACGAUUUAUAACUCAUUUGGACAUGAUUGUUAAGGAGCAAUUUAUAUUUCAAAAGUUAAAGUAUCUCUGUUUAGAGGAGCAAUUUACUUUUCAAAAGUUGAGGUGGAGGAACAAUUUACUUUUCAAAGUUGUGGUGCCUCUGUUUAGAAGAGCAUUAAUUUUUGAAGUCAUGGUGCUUCUGCUUAGAGAAUUUAUUUAUUUUCUAAAGUCGUUGAGCCUCUGAUUAGAGGGGCCAUUUAUUUUCCAAAGUCGUUGAGCCUCUGAUUAGAGGAGCCAUUUAUUUUUCAAAGUCGUUAAGCCUUUGAUUAAGGGAGCCAUCUAUUUUCAAGAUCAUGGAACCUCUGUUUAAAAGAGCUUUGUUUAUUUUUUCAAAGUCUUAGAGCCUCUAUUUAGAGGAGCUUUGAUAAAAAAAAAUGGGAGGCAAAAAAAAAUGUCAAGUUGAGUCUUGAAUAGGUGUCUACGUCUUUGCACAAUUCCUAUUUCACAGAAAAUGUACAAAGAGGGCCAGCUGUAGACACCCUAUUUAGUCCGAACCUAAGGCCAUUGGGCAUAAUCCAAUAAGGUUUGGGCUUAAGCCUAUUGGGUCUAAUUCAGGAUCUAAUUAGCCUAUCGACGAGAUUCAGCCAGAGUUUUUCAUCGGUUUAGAGAGAAAGGAGAGAAAAGAAAAAAAAGAGAGAGAGAGGGGAGGAUAGGUCUGCUGAAAAACAGAGGAAUUAGCCUUUUAUACCCAAUGAAAACGACGCCGUUUUGACGUUACUAUGCCCAGAGGAUCCGCGCGUUUUGAAAUCGAGCGACUCGAUCCAAACGUCAACCCGCUUUCGACCUGCAUUCAACCGGAGUGCGAGGUGAUCCGAGCUGAGUCGCGUCUCCGAGCCAUCUUUUCUUCCUCAAGCCGCGUCGAGUCGAGCUACCAAGUCGAGCCGUUCUCAAGUUUUUUUUUUCUUUUUCAUUUUUAUUAUUUAUUUAUUUAUUUAUUAUUUUUAUUAUUAUUAUUUAUUGAUUAGAUUAGAAUUGUUUAAUACAUUUUAUUUUUUUUAUUUUUUAUUUUAUUUUUAUUUUAUUUUCAUUUUUAUUUUAUUUUAUUUUAUUUUCUUUAAAUAAAAUUCAAAAAAAAUAUUUUUUAAGGAAAAGUUGAAAGUAUCAAUUUUCCUUAAAAAUAAGUUUUCAAAAACGGAUUUUUGAGAAAAAGUUGAAAGUAUUAAUUUUUCUUAAAAAAAAGUUUUCAAAAAUAGAUUUUUGAGAAAAAGUUGAAAGUAUCAAUUUUCUUCGAAAUUAAAGUUUUUAAAAAUAUUUUGGGAAAAAAUUGAAAGUAUUAAUUUUUCCUGUACAAAAGCAAUCAUUUUUUUUAUUUUCUUGAAUUUUUUUUAAUAUUAAAUAAUCCGACAAUGGAGCCUCUGCAAGUGAAACAGUAGUUUUCUUGCAUACUCUUGAGGUGAGAGAAUUUUUUUAAUUUUUUACUAAAAGUAUUAAAGUCAAUUGAGAAUAAUUUUCAAUGAUUAAUUACUUGGUAAAUUUUUAAGACUUAUUGGAUAACACAAAAUUAAGCUGGUACCAUCUUUUGAUGGGCGUUGUGAAGGUAUUAUAACCUUCUUCACACGUAACCGAAUUUUCGAACCAUGUUCUGGUUAGUAGACCUGAACAUAUUCUUUUUAGAGACCCUUAAACUUAGGUGUUCCCUGAAAGGGACAAUUCCUUAGGUGGCCAAUCUCACCUAGAUAAAAAAAUAUUGGUGACGACUCCUUUAAGUCAAUGUCUAGCAAUAAAUCCCCGAAUCUAGACAUUAUAACAAUAAUCAUUUACUUUUUAUUAGUUCUUAAUUUUUUACAUAUUUCAAGUAAUUAUUACACUAAUAUAUUGGCCUAAAAAUUAUUUCUAUGUCAACAAAAUAAGGUUUUUUUUUUAAAUAAAAAGGAAACAAUAAUUGUUAUGUUAUACUUAAAAACAUAUCAUAUUUUUUUAAUUUAUUUUUAAUCAUUUUAACAUAAUUGAUAAAGUAUUUUUGGUAAAUCAAAUAUGAUAAUGAUCAUCAUUCUUCUCAUAUCAUUCAUAAAGAUAAUGAAAAUUAAUAAUAAAAAAGUGUUGAAAAAAAAAUAGAGAAUAUAAGUUUAUAUAUUAAUUUGUCGAAAUUAAAAAUAUAUAAUAAUAAGGACAAAUAUAUUAAUGAAUUAACAUAGAAUAAAGACAUGAAAGAAAUGAAUAAAACAAAUAUAUAUAUAUAUAAUACGAAAAGUUAGUUGUAAUCAAUCUAAACAAAAUUUAACAAAAAGUAAUAGAUUAAAGAGAAACAAAUAAAUUAACCAAAUAUAUAAUAUAAAAAUAUUUGAAUUAGAACAUAAAUAAAGCAUUAUAUUUUUUCCCAAAAACAAAAAUAUAAUUUUAUCUAACUUCUUUAGUAACAUUUAAAUGUUUCAUCUUUUCAUAUAAAGAUGUAAGCUUUUAUUAUUUUAAUAAUAAUUACUUUAUAGUCAAUAAUUCAUUAAUUUAGAGUCAAUCACCAUAUAAGUUCUAAAUAAGUCUUAAUACAUUGCCAAUUCAAAUUACAGUUUAUUUUCUUUUACUUAAUUAUUAAUUUCAAUAUAAACCAUAUUUUGAGAAGUAAUAAAGGUAAAAAAAUAGAUUUACUUGUUAAUGAAUAUAACAUGGCUUUCACUUCUUUUUAACUUUUGUCAAUUUCUAUCAAAACCAAUAAAUCAUAAGUGUCAAACAAAAAAAUUUUAUCUUCUUCAAUUUUUUAUUCUAAUAAUAACAAAUAAAAUAAUCUUGACUUAAAUGGAUCUUCUCCUCUAUAUUCUUUAUUUUUGUUCUCUAAUUCUAAAUUCAAUGGAUAAUAAUUUAUUAAGCGUGCACGUGUCACGGACCUAAGAAAGAGUCAUGAAUCUCACAUCGAACAUAAUAGGAAGGUCUCUGAGGUAUAAAAGGGUUCACACCGCCUCCGCCUUAUGAGGUGCUUUUUGAAGGACAAAACCGUGAGGUCAUGGGAGUCAGAGCGGACAAUACCUUAUAAGGGUGUGAACCGUGACAGGAAGGCUGAUCUGGGACGCCGGAUGAGUGCAUGCCCGGGUCCCAGAGCCGCGCGAGUUCGGAGCUUAAGUCUCGACCUGUGACACACGCACGUGCAUACACAUACACACAUAUAUAUUUGGAACCAUAAUUAAAUUGAAAAUAUGAUAAAUUAAGAUUUAAUAUAUUUGAAUUUAAAAUUUAUGUUAAAUUUUCAAUCUUUGAUAUAUUUUGAUUUGAAUUUAAAUAAUUAUCCAAAAAUAUUAAAUUUAAAUAAUUUAUUAAAUAGAAUUAUUUGGCAGAAAAUAAAUAUUUAUUAAGUAUAUAUAUUUGGAAUCAUGAUUAAAUUUAAAAAGAAAAGAUAAAUUAUGAUUUAAUAUAUUUGAAUUCAGAAUUUAUAUAAAAUUUUCAAUCUCAGAUAGAUUUUGAUUUAAAUUUAAAUAAUUAUCUAAAAUAUUAAAUUUAAAUAAUUUAUUAAAAAAAUUUAUUUGAUAAAUAAAAUAAUAUAAGGUAUUAUUCUGUGUUAUUAAAAGAGACUAUCCAUGUACGCAUUCACAUAAAUAAUUUUUAUCAUAUAACCUUAUAUGUUAUAAUAUAAUAUAUAUAAUUUUAGAUUUGACAAAUUUACAUGAAUUAUAACACAAUAAUUUUCAUAUUUUACAUGUCUUAAAUAUAAAAUAGACAAACAUAAAUAUACAAAUUAUCAUGUUAAAAAAUGGCAUGUUUUGGUUUUGUAAAUCUUUUCCCAUUUUCAUAAACCCUACCAUUUUCAAAAUUUACUAUAUGUUAAGAUUUGAAGUCCUUUUUAAGUACAAAUGACAAAUACUUAACUCUUACUUUCAGGUUCAUUAACUCUCCAUAGGCACAAACUUUUUCCUAUCAUUGAAAAUGAAAAUGUUGAAGAGAAAUUAUCAAAUAUAUUGAUAAUGAAAAUUUUUUUAUUUUAUAAGUAGAGUUAAGAUGAUGACAUAUAUUUUUAUUAUAUAUUUAAAAAAAUAAAAAUAAAACUAAUUUAAAAAAAUAUAUGUUAUUAUCUUAAUCUCGUUUGUAAAGUUUGUAUUAAAUAAUUUCUAAAAUUUAAUUAUAAAAUGAAUAUAAAGCUCCGUAUUUUUAUAAAAAAUAAUUUUUAAAAAUAAUUUUAGUAUUUUUAUUAUUUAUUUGAUAAAAAAUUGAUUGUUCAACAAAAAAUAAUUUAUUAGUCAAUGAAAAAUAAGAUUAUUUUCUAGAAAUUAUCUUCCUUUUUUGAAAAAAGGAAGAUAAGUUUUGAAAAAAAGUUAUUUAUAAAUAAAACUACUUACUAAGUUUAUGAGCAGAAUUCUAUUCAAGUUGGACCUUAAAUAUGAAUUUUUUAAAACUCAAACUUAAUUUAAUCUAAUUCAAAAUAUUAUUAUAUUAAUAAAAAAUAUUUUUAUUUAAUUUUACUAAAAAAAUUUUGAAAUAUUAAUAUUCAAAGUCUUCUAAUAUUUUAAUUGUAAAAAUAUUUUAUAGUUCUACUAAGUACCUUGAACAUGAUAUUUUAAGUUUAAAUUUGAUUUGAUUCAACAUGAAAUAUUAUUAUAUUAAUAAAAUAUUUUAUUUUAUUUUAAUUAAAAUAUUAACAUUAAAAUUUUGUUGAUAUUUUAAUUUUAAAUAUUUCUAUUUUGUAUAUUAUUAAACAUAAAUAUUUUUAGUAUUUCAAUAAUAAAUAGUAUUAUAUUAUUAUUUUAAUAAUAAAUAAUAAUAUAUUAAAUAAUAUUUUAUUAUUUUAAUAAUUAAUAUUAAAUAAUAUAAUUAUUAUUUUCAUAAAAUGAAUAUUUUAAAUAAUUUCUUAAUACUUUUAAUUUAAAAUAUAUUACUUUUAUAUUUUUGUUAAUGAAUUUAUAUUAUUAUCUAAUAAUAAAAAUAAAUAAAUAAUAUUUUGUUAUGAUUUAAUAAUAGAUACUUUCAAUGUAAGAUAUAACUACUUUAAUAGUAUAAAUAUUUUAAUAUUUAUUAAUAAAUAUUACUAUUUUUAAUAUUACUGUAUUAAUAGAAAUAAUAUUUUAAGAAUAAUAAUACCAUUUUAGAUAUUUUAAAUAUUAAUAUAAAUAAUAAAUAUUUUGUUUUAUGUGUUUUUUAUAUUCAUAUAAUAUUUUAAUAUUAAAAAUUAUUAUUAAAAUAUAAUUAUUUUUUAAUAUAAAAAUUUUUAAUAUAUUUUAAUCAUAAAUAAUUUUUUAUAUUUUAUUAAUUAUAUCAAUAUUAUUUUUUAAAAAAUAAAUUUUUCAAAAGAAAUUAAAAAAUAAAAAAUACUUUUAUUAACUUAUUCAAGCAACAGUUUUCCAAAAAAUAUAAGGCCAAAGGGCAUAAAAAAUCCCUAAUUAUAAUUGAAAAUUUUAUGUAAGCCUUACAUUUUUAUUGUAAUCAAUCAACUUUUUCAAUAUUUAUUUGCAUCCAAAUAAACCCUUACAAGAAUAAAAGGUUAACAUAGUUAAUUUUUUUUAAUUAAGAUAAAAUUCCAUGUGAAAUCACUAAAAUAAAUGAAAGUUUACAUGUGGCAUAAUUAAUAUUUUUGAAAUUAAAUAAAAUAAUUUUUUUAUUUUUUUUGUCUUCUUGAUUUUCUCUUAGCUCUUUUUAAGAUAUCUUUAAGGGUUUAAUUGAUUACAAUUCAAAUAUUGAUUGAUUGAUUUAAUUUUUUCAUGUGGUUAGAUUUUGUCAAUUAAAGGUUUAAUUGAAUCAAAAUAAGAGAUUAAAAGAUUGAUUGAUUAUAAUAAAAUAUUAAGAGGUUAAAUUAUUAUUAAAAUAUAAUUUAAGAACAUUUUUAAACCUUUAACCAAAAUGUAAACAUUUUUAAAAAAUUAUUUUCUAUCAAAAUUUCAUGAAUCGAAAGGUGCCUAAAGGGGGAAAUCUUUUAGCAUCUUUUGACAAGCAGCUAAUUAACUAUACAAAGGAAUAAGUGAUUAUAUCUACAAACCACUUUCUUUUUAUUUGCUUUUCACAUCUUUUAUAGCAACAGGACUUGGAUACUUUGUUUUUGAAAUGGUCCAGCUAAGAAACACGCCAUCCAAAGAAAAAACUCUUCUUUAAGUGUGUCGGCAUCGAAAGUAUGGAGCGUGAGGAAAGUUGCUUUGUCCACAGUUCUAUACUUCAAAUCUGUCCAUAGUUUUGUCCACAAUAUGAUUGAAGAAUGAACAAAAUCUCCUGCUCCAUGCUGGUUUCUUCAAGUAGGGAGAGAGAUUUUUCUAAAUCUCAAUAACAAUGAAAUGCCUAGCAGACAUUUUGACAUUAUGGGAUGAUGGGAUGAUGCUAGCAAAGUGCAUAUGUGACCAUGAGUCUAUGCAGUUGAGCAUUGUAUGGGCAUCAUCAUUCAUCAAUGUCAUUGGCAGGGGUAGAAGCAGAUAAAGAAAAGUACCCAUCAACAAUGGCAUCCAGAGAAAACAAUGAACAUUAAUGACCAAACUGCAUCAGAAAAAUCAAAUUCAUAAACCACCAAAUAGAGAAAAAAAUUACCAUGACAUUGCAACAUAAAAGGGGUACUUAGAAUAUCCCCAUGAAGAAAGCAAUUUAGAAUGGGAGGUUUGUUCUGGAAGCGUGAAGAUAACAAUUAUGCAUUCCCUAGCUUAUUGUCUUUAGGCCUAAUCUCAACACCAUGAACGACAAGGCCACCCUUUGGAAUUCCAGCCUUUACCUCCAUAACACUA
rnacentral:lncRNA from 1 species